rnacentral:rRNA from 1 species
CGCAAGGGGAGUGGCAGACGGGUGAGUAACGCGUGGGAAUCUACCGUACCCUACGGAAUAACGCAUGGGGACGUGUGCUAAUACCGUAUACGCCCUUCGGGGGAAAGAUUUAUCGGGGUAUGAUGAGCCCGCGUUGGAUUAGCUAGUUGGUGGGGUAAAGGCCUACCAAGGCGACGAUCCAUAGCUGGUCUGAGAGGAUGAUCAGCCACAUUGGGACUGAGACACGGCCCAAACUCCUACGGGAGGCAGCAGUGGGGAAUAUUGGACAAUGGGCGCAAGCCUGAUCCAGCCAUGCCGCGUGAGUGAUGAAGGUCUUAGGAUUGUAAAGCUCUUUCACCGAUGAAGAUAAUGACGGUAGUCGGAGAAGAAGCCCCGGCUAACUUCGUGCC